UCAAAGCAAUUUAUUUAGGAACCUUUCU
rnacentral:piRNA from 1 species